UUUAGUAAAAAAGAAGAAGGAAUAGAAGAGUUUGGAUUGGUUUUUCUGAGUUCACCGGAAUCAUCAUCUCCUCCAGCGAAACCUACCGGAAUCGCCAAAAUAUUCACUAGAAUAACUCCGGCAGAACCAACAAAAUCAAAUCCGACCAAAUGUCGAAUCCAUGUGCUGCAUCUCUCUCUUUCUUUUCCCUCUUUCCGUAGACCACCAUCACUGGUGAAUACCAACUCCGAUCAAAUCUGGACGAAAAUCACCGGAACCAUCCUUCCUUCGCUGGAAAACAUUUUCAACUCAUCCUGUCGCCGAAAAAUCAGCCAAACCGCCAGAUCUGCUGCUACAGACGGCGCCAGCCGCGCCUCUACCAUCAAAAUCAAACACAUCGCCUACCCCAUUUCCCUCCUCCAUAGCUGGAAAUAGACAAACACACCCAAAAUCAAUCCGUCAUCACUGCAGCCUCAUCCGAAUGAAAGAAGGCCAACGUCGCUGUCGCCGGCGGCAAUGAUGAAAAUGGUAGUAAUUGAGAGAGAGAGAGAGAGAGAGAGAGAAGAAAGAAA
rnacentral:lncRNA from 1 species